GUCGGUAUCGAUUAGGGGUUAAAUCACUUCGUUGUGGUCGUCCCAUGAACACUGAAUUAUCCGAAGAGCCGCUGGUUCGAUUCCAGCUACCGACA